UACGAAGGGUGCAAGCGUUACUCGGAAUUACUGGGCGUAAAGCGUGCGUAGGUGGUUUGUUAAGUCCGAUGUGAAAGCCCUGGGCUCAACCUGGGAAUGGCAUUGGAUACUGGCAGGCUAGAGUGCGGUAGAGGGCAGUGGAAUUCCCGGUGUAGCAGUGAAAUGCGUAGAGAUCGGGAGGAACAUCUGUGGCGAAGGCGACUGCCUGGACCAGCACUGACACUGAGGCACGAAAGCGUGGGGAGCAAACAGG
rnacentral:rRNA from 1 species